rnacentral:lncRNA from 1 species
CAUCCAUGGGUAGGUUCAUAACCAAUUGUUUCUCUAAACAACUUCUAGCAUUGGGUUUUGCCCCAGACUUCCCUUCAGCAGGCGUGUAGCACCUCCACUGAAAAUCUUGGUUAGAUCCAACCAUUAACAUGACAUAUCAAGUGCAUCCAACAAAUAGAUGUCUAGGCCCGAGUGUGGCUCGACCAACCUAAGUAUUGAUUUGAAGGUAUAUCAUGAUGG